rnacentral:rRNA from 1 species
CAGUCGCCACGGGAAAACAGAGGGUGCAAGCGUUAAUCGGAAUUACUGGGCGUAAAGCGCGCGUAGGUGGUUUGUUAAGUUGGAUGUGAAAUCCCCGGGCUCAACCUGGGAACUGCAUCCAAAACUGGCAAGCUAGAGUAUGGUAGAGGGUGGUGGAAUUUCCUGUGUAGCGGUGAAAUGCGUAGAUAUAGGAAGGAACACCAGUGGCGAAGGCGACCACCUGGACUGAUACUGACACUGAGGUGCGAAAGCGUGGGGAGCAAACAGGAUUAGAUACCCGCGUAGUCCCUGUCUCUUAUAC